AGUUUGGAUGGUGAUGGCAAAUGGCUUGGUCGAAUUCGAGCUUGGCCUGUCGUCUUGACAUUUAAGCAGGCGUGCUUCCAUUUCAGCUUCAGUUUGACAAACCGCCUGGCUUCUCAGGCUCAGCUCCCAUUAGGCAUUCUUUGGUGACCUAAUGGGCAAGUCGAUUCAGUUUUGUGAGGGGUUUGGUCAAUUUCCGAUUGGCAGGUGAAGAUGGGGUGAGUGGAAUCUGGAGAAGGAUUUGCUGGCGAUGGUCACAGAGCACUCGAAGGUGGGUGCUUUGGGUGCUUCGAUGCUUCAAUUGGUAGAGGCUGUGGACAAUCUCUCCUAGGUAAAUGUGUAACAUCAUUAUGCCGGUGUCCUGAUGGCAAGGUUGUUGUCUUGGGACUUGAAGACGGUACAGUUUUACUGCAUGAUGUCGAAGUAAGUUUUCUAUGUUGUUACUUGAACUACGUUUUCUAUGUUGUUACUUGAACGUUACCCUCAUUACUUCUCAACUAGAUAUUCCUCCUGAAACAUUCCUUUAUCAUCAAAACGUGUUUUUCUCUAGUCUCUCUUGGGAAAUAUUCUGAAUUGCUCAAAAUCUGCAUGAUGCAAUGCAAACAACAAACUUGCUAACUGAACAUUCAGCUGCUAAUAGAGGUGGCACUCCAUUUUUAUUGGUCAUGUCCCUCAAUGUCAAGUUAACAAUGGAUUGGUAGAUAGGUCAAUCUGAGCAGGAUAAGAUUAACAAAAAAUUUAUUAGAAAAUUCUAUUUGAACAUGACCCAUUUGUUAAAUAGGCAAGAGAUGUAUAACCCGUUUAACUAAUUUGAUUGAAUUGAAUGGGUCAUUCCCAUCCUAACAUGACCAACGUGACAUAUGUACCAUAUGCAUAUCUUCAUCAAUGUCAAAUAAGUUUGAAAAGGGACUAGCCAUAAGCUUACAAAAUCCUAGGUUUACAUGAAAUGUUUUAUUUAUAUGGUGUGAUCAAAUCAUAAUAUGUAACAACUAAGGAAACCAAAUUUAUGUAUGAUUUUUUAUUAGAGAACUUACUAAACUAAAUAUAAACAGGUCAUGAUAGGUCUGGUUGUUGAUCAAGUUGGCUCUAUCAUUUAGUUAUAUAGAUUACAUGAGUCAAUCUGUCUUUGCGGUUUGAACUUUGAACAUGGAACAAUAUUCGUUUAUUAAUUAACUGUUAAGUAGGUAGCCUCACCUAAGUGGUCACAUGGAAAUGUGAGUCAUGAAUAAAAAAAAAUUAAAUCUUUCGAUUGUGGAUCGUGAUUUUCAUCCAAUGGAAUCAUAAAAUCUGAUAUAAUGUUUGAGAUUGGUAUUCCAUGACAUAUGUAAAUUAAUUAUUAGAUAAUAACUAAUCACAAAGAUACUUCAAAUUCAACUAAUUUUAUUAUCUCCAGACAUGAAAUAUUGCUACAAAUUAUUUUUCUUUUGCCCAAUGAGUACCCAUUUGACUGCAAGGACGCAAAGAUCUUAUACAUAGUAUUGUAAUUGGAUUCCCAUUCAUAGAAUUGAGUAUGAGACAAUCAAAACAUCCACUAAGCCUGAUGCAGCCAACAAAAUCAUGCAGGAUGACUACCAAGUUUUUGGUGAAGAUUGACUUUGAAACUCAAACAAGGAUCAGGAUUCUUCUUGAAGUUUAAUCACUAAAAUUAUCAACUAGGAUUUGAGUAUUAUUAGGAUUUUACAAAAUUUCCUUUUCUUUCUUUUUUUAAGCUUGCAUAGUAGGAUCUUACGUAUACUCCAAUAAUGUUUCUUGUUAUUGAACUUGGCAAGUGUUUGCUUUGCAGAUUGUGUGAUGCAAUUCAUCUUUGGCAUGAUGCUUAAGAAACCCUGGUCAAUCAAUAUAGAUGGAUCCGAAAUCUGAUUUAAAUCUAAUAUAGCACUUAUGGAUCCACAAGAAUUGCUGAGAAGAGAAGUUUAUACAUAAUGAAUGUUACUUACCAAAAAUGGAAAACUCUUGAGAAGCUUGAAGUAUGGCAGUUGGGGUGUGUCCCAACUGGGAGGAGGAUGUCCAAGUGAAUGGAGUAUGGCAUCUUUCAACUUAAAAGUUGAAUGCUUCUAGUAACUCUUUGGCAUUUGAAGAUCGCACUACUCAAUUCUUCCCUCCAGCUCCAGGAGUUCCUCGAAUGCCUGGACUAGUACCCGGAGAUGCUGGUUUAACUAACAAGGUUCAAGAUUCAUUUGUAGAGCUCUCAAAUUCUUCAAAGCAAUGUUUGCAUAGCCUUUGCAGUGGAGAUAUAGAUGGGGUUUUGCACUUUCGUAUAUUUGGUGUCUUCCUAAUCGAAAAUA